GUUUAUUAAGUUGGGGGUGAAAUCUCCGGGCUCAACCCGGAGCUCGUUCUCAAAACUGGUAGACUUGAGUAAGGUAGAGGCUGACGGAAUUCUGCAAGUAGGGGUAAAAUCCGUUGAUCUGCAGAGGAACACCAAAAGCGAAGGCAGUCAGCUGGGCCUUUACUGACGCUGAGGGACGAAAGCGUGGGUAGCGAACGGGAUUAGAUACCCCGGUAGUCCACGCCGUAAAUGAUGGAUACUGGACAUUGGUACUCGAUCGUAUCAGUGUCUCAAGCUAACGCAUUAAGUAUCCCGCCUGGGGAGUACGGUCGCAAGAUUAAAACUCAAAGGAAUAGACGGGGACCCACACAAGCGGUGGAGCAUGUGGUUUAAUUCGACAAUAAGCGAGGAACCUUACCAGGGCUUGACAUCCCGAGAAUUCUUUAGAAAUAGAGAAGUGCCUUUAUGGAACUCGGUGACAGGUGCUGCAUGGUUGUCGUCAGCUCGUGCCUUGAGGUGUUCGGUUAAGUCCGUAAACGAGCGCAACCCUAGUCCUAUGUUGUAUAUUUCAUAGGAGACUGCCUUGUCCAACGAGGAGGAAGGUUAGGAUGACGUCAAAUCAGCAUGGCCCUUAUGUCCUGGGCGACACACGUGCUACAAUGGUCGGUACAAUGGGUAGCCAACCCGCGAGGGGGAGCCAAUCCCAUCAAAGCCGGUCCAAGUUCGGAUUGGAGGCU
rnacentral:rRNA from 1 species